GGGGCAGGUCUGAGAGUGGCUGUGGGAGCUGAGGUGUUCCUUUGUUUCCUGGUGAGUCGUGUGUGUCCAGGGCACCCCGUGGAAGUGUAGGUAGUGGCUGGCUGGGCGGUGGGGCGGAUGGUCAGGAGGAAGAUGAGGCUGCAGGAGGCAGAGUUGGAGCCAUCGGCAUAAAUAACCGGUGAUCCCUGAGGGGUGCAGGUUGCUCAGGGGGUUCAGAGUGAGAAAAACCCAGAAGAGAACCCCAAGGAGUGUGAGUUCACGGGGUGGGUGGGUGAAGGUGGCCUGUGGAGGAUGCCGGGAGGUUGCAGGUAGCCGGAAGACAACCAGGUGAGUGUCACUCAGGAGGAUGAGAGGUUCAACAGGAGAGAGUGGUUGAGGUAACACAGACCCCCAUUGUCCUCUACCCCCAAGAAGUCAAGGUCAGCUGGCAUCUUUGGUGAUGGGCAGUAAAGUCAGACUGCAGUGGGCUGGGAGCGAGUGGGCAGGUGGGGGGUGAGAAACACAGUGACCUCAGGAUGGGGACCCCGUGGACCCAGUGAAGCUGGACCUGGAAAGACCAAAGGGAGCUAAACAAGGAGGGACCUACUGGGCCCAUUUUCCCAUGUCGCUGUGGGUCAGCCCUGGGCCUG
rnacentral:lncRNA from 1 species